rnacentral:rRNA from 1 species
GACGAACGCUGGCGGCGUGCUUAACACAUGCAAGUCGAACGGAAAGGCCCUGCUUGUGUGGUGUGCGCGAGUGGCGAAGGGGUGUGUAACACGGGAGUAACCUGCCCUACACUGUGGGAUAACUUGAGGAAACUGGGGCUAAUCCCGGAUGGGAGAUCCUGCUUGUUGGUGGGGGUAGGAAAGUUUCGGGGGGUGGGGGUGGACUGGCGGCUCGUCUGCUUGUUGGUGGGUUAGCGGCUUACCAAGGCUUUGACGGGUGGCCGGCCUGAGAGGGUGACCGGCCACAUUGGGCCGGGGUAACGCCCCAGACUCCUACGGGAGGCAGAAGUGGGGAAUAUGCCACAUGGGGCGGAAGCUGGAGGCAGCAACGCGCCGGGCGGGAUGACGGCCUUCGGUUGUUAACCCGCUUUGGCCUGUGACGAACCGUUAGUGACGGUAAUGAGUUAAGAAGCACCGGCUAACUACGUG